ACUUUCUUUCAUGUAAAUGACACGCUUCCGUUGAACAUUUACUUUAUAGAAAUGGUUUAUUGUCUUCAGAAAAAGUCCGUUAGCAUCUCAACCUUAAUGCUAACUACAAGAGAUUCUUCCAUGCUGAUGUCCAUACCCUAGAGUUGGAGCGUGUAUCUUGUCGAAGAUCAUUUUUAGACAUUAUGAGACAUAUGACUUGGGGGCAAAAUACAUUGAGUCAAAGUUUAGCUCCAACCCCAAUUAAGCAGACCUGAGCAGCUGAUCAAAGAUCACCA